rnacentral:rRNA from 1 species
UUCGGGAAACCGGAGCUAAUACCGGAUAAUAUAUUGAACCGCAUGGUUCAAUAGUGAAAGACGGUUUUGCUGUCACUUAUAGAUGGAUCCGCGCCGCAUUAGCUAGUUGGUAAGGUAACGGCUUACCAAGGCACGAUGCGUAGCCGACCUGAGAGGGUGAUCGGCCACACUGGAACUGAGACACGGUCCAG